rnacentral:lncRNA from 1 species
UUUUUUUUUUUUUUUUUUUUUUUUUUUUUGGAUCAUUUUGUGCUUUAUGGGCUUCACAGUGAAGGUUGGUUUCAAAGAGAGAGGUGUGGGAGUCACUGUCCUUAGUGAGGUUCAAAAGCUGUGUGGGCAUGGUGCUGGGCAGAGGUGGGAGUUGAACCAGAUGACCUCAAGACUUGCUAUCCAACCUCAGUCAUUCAAUGGUUCUAUGGAGAGGCAAAUGAAGAACAGCAAAAAUGUCUGAAAGGAGUCAGAUGAGGAAUGUGGGGAGAAAGAUGACUUCCAGUAGUCCUCAGUUAAAGAAAGUUGAAGAAAAAUUCAGGUGUGCGCCAGCAAGGUAAGGUUGCAUGGGUCAAGACUGAAAGGAGAAGAUACAAGAUGAUGAAAGCCCAAAUGAGACCUUCCCUUUUGUGGUUGGACAGAAGUCAUCAUUUCCACUAAUAUAUUUACUGAGGUAAGGCUAAAUGGCUAAUGAGAUGGAAAUUUAUGCACUCCCUAUGAAAAUUUGCAGCUUAUCUUUAGCUCCUCAAAGGGAUGUGAAGAGAGGAAGCCAAACUGAGCAGGCUGAGAUUUCAGUGGACAGCUCUGUAUGCCACCUGCACAGAAGUGGCAGCUGGAAAAUGAGAAUAUCCAGAGUUGUAGAAAGGGAGACAUUAGAUUUUAUGACACUGCGAGCAUCUAUUUUGGAAAAGUCAAUGCAAAUGAAUCUUCAGAGAAUCUGAAAGGAGUGCUAAACUGGUUGGCAUAUACUCAGAAAAUGGAGGACCCUAUAUCAAGAUCAUACAGCCAGCGGAAGAGACGAUUUAGAAAGUGAUUUUUCAUCUUAACCAAUGAUGUAGCAUCAUCAAUUUUCCCAGACAGCCUUCAGGUCCCCAGGGCUUCAGGAUGGCACCUAAGAGAUAAUGUGACAUAGGACUUGGUCCAACGCUGUCUAAUUUUUAGGAACAACUCCAUGGGAAUACACUGUCUUUGUGAGAAUGAGGAAAGAAAAGAAAAAUGAAGAGAAAGAGCAGAAACAGGGAAGUUUCAUAGUAAGGAUGCUGACAUGCAGUAAAAAUAUAAAAACAAAACAAAAAAAU